rnacentral:rRNA from 1 species
GACGAACGCUGGCGGCGUGCCUAAUACAUGCAAGUAGAACGCUGAAGGAGGAGCUUGCUCUUCUGGAUGAGUUGCGAACGGGUGAGUAACGCGUAGGUAACCUGCCUGGUAGCGGGGGAUAACUAUUGGAAACGAUAGCUAAUACCGCAUAAGAGUAGAUGUUGCAUGGCAUUUGCUUAAAAGGUGCAAUUGCAUCACUACCAGAUGGACCUGCGUUGUAUUAGCUAGUUGGUGGGGUAACGGCUCACCAAGGCGACGAUACAUAGCCGACCUGAGAGGGUGAUCGGCCACACUGGGACUGAGACACGGCCCAGACUCCUACGGGAGGCAGCAGUAGGGAAUCUUCGGCAAUGGACGGAAGUCUGACCGAGCAACGCCGCGUGAGUGAAGAAGGUUUUCGGAUCGUAAAGCUCUGUUGUAAGAGAAGAACGAGUGUGAGAGUGGAAAGUUCACACUGUGACGGUAGCUUACCAGAAAGGGACGGCUAACUACGUG